rnacentral:rRNA from 1 species
CACGUAGGCACCAAGCGUUGUCCGGAUUUAUUGGGCGUAAAGAGCUCGUAGGCGGUUCGGUAAGUCGGGUGUGAAAACUUUGGGCUCAACCCAAAGCCUGCACCCGAUACUGCUGUGACUUGAGUCCGGUAGGGGGAGUGGGGAAUUCCUGGUGUAGCGGUGGAAUGCGCAGAUAUCAGGAGGAACACCGGUGGCGAAGGCGCCACUCUGGGCCGGUACUGACGCUUAGGAGCGAAAGCGUGGGGAGCGAACAGG